UACAGAGGUCCCAAGCGUUGUUCGGAUUCACUGGGCGUAAAGGGUGCGUAGGCGGUCGGGUAAGUCUGAUGUGAAAUCUCACAGCUUAACUGUGAAACUGCAUUGGAUACUAUCCGGCUAGAGGAAUGGAGGGGAGACUGGAAUUCUUGGUGUAGCGGUGAAAUGCGUAGAUAUCAAGAGGAACACCCGUGGCGAAGGCGGUCCGCUGGCCCACAACUGACGCUGAGGCGCGAAAGCCGGGGGAGCGAACAGG
rnacentral:rRNA from 1 species